rnacentral:rRNA from 1 species
AGACCCGAAACCCGGUGAUCUAGCCAUGGGCAGGUUGAAGGUUGGGUAACACUAACUGGAGGACCGAACCGACUAAUGUUGAAAAAUUAGCGGAUGACCUGUGGCUGGGGGUGAAAGGCCAAUCAAACCGGGAGAUAGCUGGUUCUCCCCGAAAGCUAUUUAGGUAGCGCCUCGUGAAUUCAUCUCCGGGGGUAGAGCACUGUUUCGGCUAGGGGGCCAUCCCGGCUUACCAACCCGAUGCAAACUGCGAAUACCGGAGAAUGUUAUCACGGGAGACACACGGCGGGUGCUAACGUCCGUCGUGAAGAGGGAAACAACCCAGACCGCCAGCUAAGGUCCCAAAGUCAUGGUUAAGUGGGAAACGAUGUGGGAAGGCCCAGACAGCCAGGAUGUUGGCUUAGAAGCAGCCAUCAUUUAAAGAAAGCGUAAUAGCUCACUGGUCGAGUCGGCCUGCGCGGAAGAUGUAACGGGGCUAAACCAUGCACCGAAGCUGCGGCAGCGACACUCAGGUGUUGUUGGGUAGGGGAGCGUUCUGUAAGUCUGCGAAGGUGGCCUGUGAGGGUUGCUGGAGGUAUCAGAAGUGCGAAUGCUGACAUAAGUAACGAUAAAGCGGGUGAAAAGCCCGCUCGCCGGAAGACCAAGGGUUCCUGUCCAACGUUAAUCGGGGCAGGGUGAGUCGACCCCUAAGGCGAGGCCGAAAGGCGUAGUCGAUGGGAAACGGGUUAAUAUUCCCGUACUUGGUGUUACUGCGAAGGGGGGACGGAGAAGGCUAUGUUGGCCGGGCGACGGUUGUCCCGGUUUAAGCGUGUAGGUGUGUGUUCCAGGUAAAUCCGGUUCACUUUAACACUGAGGCGUGACGACGAGGCACUACGGUGCUGAAGCAACAAAUGCCCUGCUUCCAGGAAAAGCCUCUAAGCAUCAGGUAACAUCAAAUCGUACCCCAAACCGACACAGGUGGUCAGGUAGAGAAUACCAAGGCGCUUGAGAGAACUCGGGUGAAGGAACUAGGCAAAAUGGUGCCGUAACUUCGGGAGAAGGCACGCUGACACGUAGGUGAAGUGAUUUACUCACGGAGCUGAAGUCAGUCGAAGAUACCAGCUGGCUGCAACUGUUUAUUAAAAACACAGCACUGUGCAAACACGAAAGUGGACGUAUACGGUGUGACGCCUGCCCGGUGCCGGAAGGUUAAUUGAUGGGGUCAGCGCAAGCGAAGCUCCUGAUCGAAGCCCCGGUAAACGGCGGCCGUAACUAUAACGGUCCUAAGGUAGCGAAAUUCCUUGUCGGGUAAGUUCCGACCUGCACGAAUGGCGUAAUGAUGGCCAGGCUGUCUCCACCCGAGACUCAGUGAAAUUGAACUCGCUGUGAAGAUGCAGUGUACCCGCGGCAAGACGGAAAGACCCCGUGAACCUUUACUAUAGCUUGACACUGAACAUUGAGCCUUGAUGUGUAGGAUAGGUGGGAGGCUUUGAAGUGUGGACGCCAGUCUGCAUGGAGCCGACCUUGAAAUACCACCCUUUAAUGUUUGAUGUUCUAACGUGGACCCGU